rnacentral:rRNA from 1 species
AUUGAACGCUGGCGGCAUGCCUUACACAUGCGAGUCGAACGGUAACGGGCCUUCGGGUGCCGACGAGUGGCGCACGGGUGAGUAAUACAUCGGAACGUGCCCGAUCGUGGGGGAUAACGAGGCGAAAGCUUUGCUAAUACCGCAUACGAUCUACGGAUGAAAGCAGGGGACCGCAAGGCCUUGCGCGGACGGAGCGGCCGAUGGCAGAUUAGGUAGUUGGUGGGAUAAAAGCUUACCAAGCCGACGAUCUGUAGCUGGUCUGAGAGGAUGAUCAGCCACACUGGGACUGAGACACGGCCCAGACUCCUACGGGAGGCAGCAGUGGGGAAUUUUGGACAAUGGGCGCAAGCCUGAUCCAGCCAUGCCGCGUGCAGGAUGAAGGCCUUCGGGUUGUAAACUGCUUUUGUACGGAACGAAAAGCCUUCUUUUAAUACAGGAGGGUCAUGACGGUACCGUAAGAAUAAGCACCGGCUAACUACGUG